AUAAAGAUUAUUCUUUUAUUAGAAUA
rnacentral:tRNA from 1 species